GGAAAGGUGGUCGAGUUGGUUUAAGGCGCACGCUUGGAAAGCGUGUGUAGGUUUACCCCUACCGCGGGUUCGAAUCCCGCCCUUUCCG
rnacentral:tRNA from 1 species